rnacentral:rRNA from 1 species
CCUACCGGGGGCAGCAGUGAGGAAUAUUGGUCAAUGGGAGAGAUCCUGAACCAGCCAAGCCGCGUGAGGGAAGACGGCCCUAUGGGUUGUAAACCUCUUUUGUCGGAGAACAAAACCCGGGACGUGUCCCGGCCUGCGUGUAUCCGAAGAAAAAGCAUCGGCUAACUCCGUCCCAGCAGCGCCGGUAAUACGGAGGAUGCGAGCUUUAUCCGGAUUUAUUGGGUUAAAAGGGUGCGUAGGCGGUCCGUUAAGUCAGCGGUAAGAUUGUGGGGCUAAACCCCGUCGAGCCGUUGAAACUGGCAGACUUGAGUUGGCGAGAAGUACGCGGAAUGCGCGGUGUAGCGGUGAAAUGCAUAGAUAUCGCGCAGAACUCCGAUUGCGAAGGCAGCGUACCGGCGCCAGACUGACGCUGAGGCACGAAAGCGUGGGGAUCGAACAGGAUUAGAUACCCGGGUAGUC